rnacentral:rRNA from 1 species
CCUACGGGAGGCAGCAGUGGGGGAUAUUGCACAAUGGGGGGAACCCUGAUGCAGCGACGCCGCGUGGGUGAAGGAGCGUUUCGGCGCGUAAAGCCCUGUCAGCAGGGAAGAAAAUGACGGUACCUGAAGAAGAAGCCCCGGCUAACUACGUGCCAGCAGCCGCGGUAAUACGUAGGGGGCAAGCGUUAUCCGGAUUUACUGGGUGUAAAGGGGGCGCAGACGGCGAUGCAAGCCAGGAGUGAAAGCCCGGGGCCCAACCCCGGGACUGCUCUUGGAACUGCGUGGCUGGAGUGCAGGAGGGGCAGGCGGAAUUCCUGGUGUAGCGGUGAAAUGCGUAGAUAGCAGGAGGAACACCGGUGGCGAAGGCGGCUUACUAAACUGCCACUGACAUUGAUGCUCGAAAGUGUGGGUAUCAAACAGGAUUAGAUACCCCUGUAGUC